rnacentral:rRNA from 1 species
UACGUAGGGGGCAAGCGUUAUCCGGAAUUACUGGGUGUAAAGGGUGAGUAGGCGGCAUGGUAAGCCAGAUGUGAAAGCCUUGGGCUUAACCCGAGGAUUGCAUUUGGAACUAUCAAGCUAGAGUACAGGAGAGGAAAGCGGAAUUCCUAGUGUAGCGGUGAAAUGCGUAGAUAUCAGGAGGAACACCGGCGGCGAAGGCGGCCUGCUGGACUGAAACUGACGUUGAGGCUCGAAAGCGUGGGGAGCAAACAGG